UGGGGAAUAUUGGACAAUGGGCGCAAGCCUGAUCCAGCCAUACCGCGUGGGUGAAGAAGGCCUUCGGGUUGUAAAGCCCUUUUGUUGGGAAAGAAAUCCAGCCGGCUAAUACCUGGUUGGGAUGACGGUACCCAAAGAAUAAGCACCGGCUAACUUCGUGCCAGCAGCCGCGGUAAUACGAAGGGUGCAAGCGUUACUCGGAAUUACUGGGCGUAAAGCGUGCGUAGGUGGUCGUUUAAGUCCGUUGUGAAAGCCCUGGGCUCAACCUGGGAACUGCAGUGGAUACUGGGCGACUAGAGUGUGGUAGAGGGUAGCGGAAUUCCUGGUGUAGCAGUGAAAUGCGUAGAGAUCAGGAGGAACAUCCAUGGCGAAGGCAGCUACCUGGACCAACACUGACACUGAGGCACGAAAGCGUGGGGAGCAAACAGGAUUAGAUACCCUGGUAGUCCACGCCCUAAACGAUGCGAACUGGAUGUUGGGUGCAAUUUGGCACGCAGUAUCGAAGCUAACGCGUUAAGUUCGCCGCCUGGGAGUACGGUCGCAAGACUG
rnacentral:rRNA from 1 species